CCUACCAAUUAUACUCGGUUGUAUCGCAACCAUGUAGUAUGCACGACGGGCGAAGCUAAGCCACGGUAGUCGACGAGUUCACUCGAUUCGCCGCACAAGUUUGGAGGGAACAUCGACUCGUAGGUUAAAAUUGCUUCGUUUUCCGUCUAAUUGCGAACGAUUUUGCUUUUGUUCCAUAGGACUCUGAUUUGCGUACCCGAUCGUGCUUGCCUCGGGCCUUCCUGGAGAAUUUGGCCCUUCUUAGGGCAAGAAGACGUUAGCACUGGGGGCUUUACAUGCUUAAAAUUCAGCGAUGUUCGUGGGAGUCUCAGGACAGACAUUUUAAAGGUUUCAUCAAGGUUAUCAGGCCUGUUGUUUGGUCAAGCUGAUGUGUUUGGUUCUUUCUUUCUUGUACUCUUUUUAUGCCUUUUUUUUGCUAGUAUUAAGGAAAUUCUAUAUUUAAGCAACCCCUUUGAAUUUUUUCUUGGCACACUUCAAGUACAAAUAAGUGUGCAAGAUUUUGAACUUGUUUUAUGUUCCUGUGUGGGAUACUGAGGUGACAACCAAGCAUUGAAAAAUCUUUAGAGAAAAUUACAUUUGUAAUCUUCCACUGUUGUUAUCAUGAAAUGCUCCUUCCUUUUCCGAGACUAUACAUUUUGAUCUAUCUUUUACUAGAUUAUGUAAAGGCUGACUGUUGUAUCUGUAGACCAUUCUAGUCGAAAGCAGAUCCCGAGUAAACAAAAUAAGAAUUGUUAUUAUGGGUCAUUUUUGUGUUACCCCUCUUGUUUUCCUGAGUUGAGAGUAGAAUAGUUCAUGAACAACAGUAGGGAGGAAUAAGGGCAGGAAAAAUGAUGACAUUGUAAACAAAACAAAAGAUAAAAAGAAAAUUAUUCAUAGGCAAUAAAUAGGAUGGUGGAAUUGAAGCACCGAAACAAGAAGCCAGAUUGGAUUAAUGAUCGAGAUGGAAUUAAGUCUUUCAUUGAGCUGACCAUGUUUUGUUUUGCUUUGGUAUCUAAUUUAAUCUCUGUACUUUUUCCCUUCUCUCAUGUGGAUGAAACAAGGAUAGAAGGAGCCUUCAUUUCUGUGGUAAACUACUUUCCUCAUACCUUAAGCCCUCUCAACUGUGCAGUUGGAACUGGCACUCACUCCAUGAUCAAUUUGACCAUCUGGAGUCUCUAAAUUGGAUGCCAACUAUUUUGUUAAACAGUCAUAUUCAUCUAGAAGAGAAAUCAAUCAAUAUAUAUAUAUAUAUAUAUAUAUAUUUCAACAUUUAGCUUUGCAUGUCAAACAAAACUAAAAAUGUUUUUCCAUUUUGCUUAUUCUUCUCAUGAUGACACUGUCACUGUUAUGCAUCUUCUCUCCAAAUUCUUGCAAGAAAAUAGAGCUGGGCCAUAAGAAACUUCCCACAGGUACAUCCUGCUUGUUAAACAGUCAUAUUCAUCUAGAAGAGACCUUAGUCAAUAUAUAUAUAUUUCAACAUUUAGCUUUGCAUGUCAAACAAAACUAAAAAUGUUUUUCCAUUUUGCUUAUUCUUCUCAUGAUGACACUUUGUCACUGUUAUGCAUCUUCUCCCCAAAUUCUUGCAAGAAAAUAGAGCUGGCCAUAAGAAACUGCCCACAGGUACAUCCUGCUUGUUAAACAGUCAUAUUCAUCUAGAAGAGAACUUAGUCAAUAUAUAUAUUUUUCAACAUUUAGCUUUGCAUGUCAAACAAAACUAAAAAUGUUUUUCCAUUUUGCUUAUUCUUCUCAUGAUGACACUGUCACUGUUAUGCAUCUUCUCUCCAAAUUCUUGCAAGAAAAUAGAGCUGGCCAUAAGAAACUGCCAAUAGGUACAUCCUGCAACUCAUAGUUGGGUAAGCAACACUACUUUUCUACACCAAGAUAUUUUCCAUUAACAUGUAUUUAGAUUUCUUGUCCAUAAAAUCACCAGAACGAACUUAAUGUAUACUAAUUGUAAUUAGUUUUUUACAUUUUUACGAUAUAAAUAGGUCAACAAAGUUUUGGAGGGAAAAUAUUUUAAGUUUAAAUUGACUGACACUGAUCCUGAGAUGAUAGUCACUCUAUCUGCUAUGGUUCUCUAGAACAUUUAGUUUAGCAUCAACUAUAUGUACAUUUUAGAUUAAAAUAUACUGUCAUUAAUCAUUUGAGUGGAGAAUAUAAAUGCAUAAUGGACAUGUUUCAUCUCAGACCUACCUAAUCUCUGCAGGUGUGUCAAUACUGGAUGUCACUUAAGCUCUGAACACAAUGAGGUGGUUGUCCAAAGGUGCAGGGGGGGCAUACAUGUGAGCCCUCAUGUUCCUAGGGGCCAAAUGUGAGACAAAUAGUAUCUCACAUACUUUAUUGAUUCAUGUGGUGCCAAAGAGCCAAGGGAAGUUUAUAUUUUGUUCAACAGAUGUGAGUCAUUUGUUUAUAGGACCGUAUGGUAAGUGUCAAUUUCCAUCUUUCCAUGUACCCUACACUGUUUACAUACUAGCUCAUGCCACCUGCUUUUUACUGCACCCCAAUGUACCCUCUGUUGCAACCUCUGUGCCCCUUCUCAAUGGCCAUUUCCCAUCUCUUUCCCACUUCCCAACACCUUUAAAAGCCAGGCUAAAGGUAAAAAAAAGGUAACCUACUGACCAUUUGGGUCUGUGACAUGAAUCACCUUUUGAUGGAGCAGGAGGCCUCUCUCCCUUCAUAUUGUCUUCUCUGGCUUUUCAUCAUGGAUAGAAGAAUUAAUAAUGUAUGGAAUAUGGACAUUGGACAUGACAGCUAGUAUUUGUUGAGCAAUGUGCUCUGAACAUGGUUUUGUACCCAAAAGUAAGUCAUGUCUGAGUGACAAAUUUCACAUUCUACUAUCUGAUUUCUCUAUGAAUUUAAGAAUUCAUAAUGUACAGACAGUAUGGGCAGUGGAAAUGACAUAAUAGCAUUUGUUCCAUCAACCAUCUGUCUCCGGGAUCCCUCUGGUGGAGCAAUGAGCUGUUGACAUGGUUUUGUGCCCUAAAGUAACCCCCUGCUGAGUGACAAGCUCUCAUCCAUCCCCUUUGAUGAUUGUCCACUUGAGGAAUGUUGGGGACUCUGCACCAAGAAUAUCAGAGCUGGCCUGUAUGGUUUGUACCUGUAAGUGCCUGAACGGAACUGAUGAGUAAGUACACUGACCAUUUAUUAUGAUAAGGAUGGACUGCUCACCGCAUGAUUAACUUUGUUUUGUAAGCUUGCUGAAGGUGUCUCCCUCACCCCUUUUCUUGGCUCCACCUCUCAAUUAUGUAGUGAGAUGCAGAUGAAAUCUCUUUAUCAGUAUGCUCUCUUUGAUCAUUCCCACUGUUUUCAGGCACCAAACUUCAUCUGAAUCAAGAAAAUUUAAACUACGCUCGUCUUAUUUAUUUUUCUUGGAAAUCUAAAUCUUCUCAUUGCCAGAAUGAAAAGGAAGAAAACUCUUCUUAUAGCUCUAACUCUUUCAUCCUCUCCACAUAUUUGUUCUAUUCUUAUCAUUCUCUUUCACUAUGAAUAUAACCAUUAUUCUUACAAUGUUAUUUAUAUGCUUUUUUGAACUUUAUUAAAGUCUUGCAAGGACUUCUUGGCAGUCGCUAAGGCUAGAGAGCGGACGAUCCGUACUUAC